rnacentral:rRNA from 1 species
AGAGUUUGAUUAUGGCUCAGGACGAACGCUGGCGGCGUGCCUAAUACAUGCAAGUAGAACGCACAGUUUAUACCGUAGCUUGCUACACCAUAGACUGUGAGUUGCGAACGGGUGAGUAACGCGUAGGUAACCUGCCUGGUAGCGGGGGAUAACUAUUGGAAACGAUAGCUAAUACCGCAUAAUAUUAAUUAUUGCAUGAUAAUUAAUUGAAAGGUGCAAUUGCACCACUACCAGAUGGACCUGCGUUGUAUUAGCUAGUAGGUGAGGUAACGGCUCACCUAGGCGACGAUACAUAGCCGACCUGAGAGGGUGAUCGGCCACACUGGGACUGAGACACGGCCCAG